rnacentral:rRNA from 1 species
GUGGGGAAUCUUGCGCAAUGGGCGAAAGCCUGACGCAGCCAUGCCGCGUGAAUGAUGAAGGUCUUAGGAUUGUAAAAUUCUUUCACCGGGGACGAUAAUGACUGUAGCCGGAGAAGAAGCCCCGGCUAACUUCGUGCCAGCAGCCGCGGUAAUACGAAGGGGGCUAGCGUUGCUCGGAUUUACUGGGCGUAAAGGGCGCGUAGGCGGACAUUUAAGUCAGGGGUGAAAUCCCGGGGCUCAACCUCGGAACUGCCUUUGAUACUGGGUGUCUUGAGUAUGAGAGAGGUGUGUGGAACUCCGAGUGUAGAGGUGAAAUUCGUAGAUAUUCGGAAGAACACCAGUGGCGAAGGCGACACACUGGCUCAUUACUGACGCUGAGGCGCGAAAGCGUGGGGAGCAAACAGGAUUAGAUACCCCGGUAGUCC